UACGGAGGAGGCAAGCGUUAUCCGGAAUUAUUGGGCGUAAAGCGUCCGUAGGUGGCUAGUCAAGUCUGCGGUCAAAGACUGGGGCUUAACCCUGGAAAGGCCGUGGAAACUGACGAGCUAGAGUACGGAAGAGGCGAGUAGAAUUCCUGGUGUAGCGGUGGAAUGCGCAGAUAUCAGGAGGAAUACCCAUAGCGAAGGCAGCUCGCUGGGACGUUACUGACGCUGAGGCGCGAAAGCGUGGGGAGCGAACAGG
rnacentral:rRNA from 1 species